AUGGUGGGGUAAAGGCCUACCAUGGCGACGAUCUGUAGCUGGUCUGAGAGGAUGAUCAGCCACACCGGGACUGAGACACGGCCCGGACUCCUACGGGAGGCAGCAGUGGGGAAUAUUGGACAAUGGGGGCAACCCUGAUCCAGCCAUGCCGCGUGUGUGAAGAAGGCCUUUUGGUUGUAAAGCACUUUAAGCAGUGAAGAAGACUCUAUGGUUAAUACCCAUAGACGAUGACAUUAGCUGCAGAAUAAGCACCGGCUAACUCUGUGCCAGCAGCCGCGGUAAUACAGAGGGUGCAAGCGUUAAUCGGAAUUACUGGGCGUAAAGCGAGCGUAGGUGGCUUGAUAAGUCAGAUGUGAAAGCCCCGGGCUUAACCUGGGAACGGCAUCUGAUACUGUUAGGCUAGAGUAGGUGAGAGGAAGGUAGAAUUCCAGGUGUAGCGGUGAAAUGCGUAGAGAUCUGGAGGAAUACCGAUGGCGAAGGCAGCCUUCUGGCAUCAUACUGACACUGAGGUUCGAAAGCGUGGGUAGCAAACAGGAUUAGAUACCCUGGUAGUCCACGCCGUAAACGAUGUCUACUAGUCGUUGGGUCCCUUGAGGACUUAGU
rnacentral:rRNA from 1 species